AUAUUGGACAAUGGGGGCAACCCUGAUCCAGCCAUGCCGCGUGUGUGAAGAAGGUCUUCGGAUUGUAAAGCACUUUACGUUGGGAGGAAGGGCUUUCGGUUAAUACCCUGAAGUUUUGACGUUACCAACAGAAUAAGCACCGGCUAACCCUGUGACAGCAGCCGCGGUAAUACAGAGGGAGCAAGCGUUAAUCGGAAUUACUGGGGGAAAAGCGCGCGUAGGUGGUUCAGAGAGAUGUGUGUGAAAUCCCCGGGCUUAACCUGGGAACUGCUUUCAUAACUGCUGAGCUAGAGUACGGUAGGGGGUAGUGGAAUUUCCUGUGUAGCGGUGAAAUGCGUAGAUAUAGGAAGGAACACCAGUGGCGAAGGCGACUACCUGGACUGAUACUGACACUGAGGUGCGAAAGCGUGGGGAGCAAAC
rnacentral:rRNA from 1 species